UACGUAGGGUGCAAGCGUUAAUCGGAAUUACUGGGCGUAAAGCGUGCGCAGGCGGCUUCUCAAGUCAGGGGUGAAAGCCCAGAGCUCAACUCUGGAAUUGCCUUUGAGACUGAGUGGCUUGAGUACGAGAGGGGUGAGUGGAAUUCCCAGUGUAGAGGUGAAAUUCGUAGAUAUUCGCAAGAACACCAGUGGCGAAGGCGGCUCACUGGCCCGAUACUGACGCUGAGGCACGAAAGCGUGGGGAGCAAACAGG
rnacentral:rRNA from 1 species